rnacentral:rRNA from 1 species
UACGAGGGGGGCAAGUGUUGUUCGGAAUCACUGGGCGUAAAGGGAGCGUAGGCGGAUGUUUAAGUUGGAUGUUUAAAACCGGGGCCUAACCUCGGAGCGGCAUCCAAAACUGGGCAUCUUGAAUAGGUCAGAGGCUGGUGGAAUUGGAGGUGUAGCGGUGGAAUGCGUAGAGAUCUCCAAGAACACCUAUUGCGAAGGCAGCCAGGUGGGACCAUAUUGACGCUGAGGCUCGAAAGCAUGGGGAGCAAACAGG